GUCUUUUCUGCUGCUGCUGCUUUCUUUUCGGUGUGAGGAUUAAGUGCCUCUUCUGGUGUAUUGCAGUGGCAAGAAUGUGGGCUGUAGGUGGAGAAUUCAUACCACUCUUUUGAGUGAUCAAGUCAUAGUGAAGAUCACAAGGAACCCAUACGAUCAUGAGAAUUGUCAAAGCACUAGGAGGGCAGGCACUUGUGUAGGAGUGACACAGUUUUGGGUCUGUGAACAAGUGCUUGAUUGGUUGAAGGAAGAUGAAACAUUGGGUGCCAAAGAGCUGAGGAGGAGGUUGAAGGAGAGCCACAAAGUUGAGGUAACCUACAGGAAAGUUUAUCUAGGUAGGCAACGUGCUAUGGAUAAACUUUAUGGUCCUUGGUCCUGCAGUUUUGACAACCUGUAUAGAUUUAAGGCUCAGAUAGAGGAUACUAAUCCUGGAUCCUUUGUUGUAAUUGAUCACCAUACCAUCAACAACAAAAUAAGGUUUAAUAGGCUGUUUUUUGCUUUGAAAGCUUGUGUUGAUGGUUUCCUAUGAGGUUGUAGGCCAUAUCUUGCAGUAGAUAGUACAUUUUUAAAUGGAAGGUUCAGGGGCCGGUUGUGUGUAGCUUGUGCAGUUGAUGGUCACAAUUGGAUGUACCCAGUAGCUAUUGGUGUCAUUGACUCAGAAACAAAUGAGAAUUGGGAGUGGUUUAUGAAUAGGUUGAAAGAAGCUAUAGGCAACCCAGUUGGGCUUACAUUCAGCACUGAUUGUGGGCAAGCAGUGAUGUAUGGGGUGAGUGUGGUUUUUUCAUAUGCUAAACAUAGAGAGUGUAUGUACCAUCUAGUACAGAAUUUCAAGAAGAGACAUAGUGGACAAAUUUUUGAUGAUCACCUGUGGGCAUCUGCAUAUUCUUGGAGUCCUUGCAUGUUUGAUAAACAUUAUCAAGCCAUGGCUGUAGCCAAACCAGAGGCUAUGAAAUAUCUUCAGGAAAAUCACAGGAAAUUGUGGACCAGGAGCCAAUUUUCCACUUUGUCAAAAGUGGAUUAUGUUACCAAUAACUUCGCUGAGGCAUUCAAUAAAUGGGUAAAGGAUCAGAAGGGCCUGCAUCUGGAUGACUUGAUGGAUACCAUUAGACAGAUGAUCUUGAUUAAAUGGAAUAAUUGAAAAAGGGUUGCCGAAAAGUUUGAAGGAAAGAUCUUGCCUCAUAUAGUGCAGAAGUUGAGAGGAGCUAGCUAUAACCUUGACAUUGAAGUAAUCACAAGCUCACCUGAUGGCAUUGCAGAAGUUUGUGCUAAGGGAAAUUCUGCUAGUACCUUCAGGUUUGUAGUGAACAUAAAAGAGAGGACAUGCUCUUGCAGAGCUUGGCAAUGGUCAGGAAUACCAUGCAAACAUGCCAUUGCCUACAUCACAUCAAUCCCUGGGGCCAAUCUUGAAGACUAUGUGGAUGAGUGCUAUUCAAUUGAGAAAUUCAAAAUUGCAUAUGAAGGUUCUGUGCCCUCUAUUCCUGACAAGUCCAUGUGGUCCAAACCCACCCAUGGCUUCUUCAUGCAUCCUUCAUUGCUUAAGUCAACUGCAGGAGGAAGAAGGAAGAACAUGAUGAAAUCAGCUUUGGAGGGAGGUAGUAGUAGGAAGAAAUUAGGCACUAAGGGAGGUACUGGCAAAAGGCAACAUAAGUGCCCAAUAUGCCACUAGUUAGGGCACCAUUGGUACACAUGUAAGAAAGGCAAUCCAGAUGACAUAGCUGCAUAUGAGGCUGAGAGGGGUCCACCAAAAAAAAGGCUGAAGAAAGCAUCUUCCAGUAACACAGUGACUAGCAUUGUUGUGGCCACUCCUGGAUCAGGCAUGGUAUUCCCACACAAUGAGGUGGUGGCCAGUGCUACACAGAAGCCAAAGAGAGUUAAAAACGCCGCCAAAAAGAAGGGGCCACCAACAUCAGCAAGUACUGACAAUUCGGUGACGAGCAGGUCUGUAACUAGAUCCAAUAACCCCUUUGCUCUCCAAAUUGAACACCCUCCAGUUGUUCAUGACGACAUUGCAUCCUAUGAAGUCUCUCCACGGACAGUGGAGACACCAAGGAAGAAGCAAGCCAUCAAGAAGAUUUUUCCCACAUUUUCCCAAUUUUUCCCAGAUUUUUAAACAUUUUUAAAAUUUAUUCUCACUUUUUUCUGAUUUUUACCUUUUUUAAAAAAUUAUUUUCCAUUUUUUGAUUUUUAACGCCUUUUCUAAAUUAUUUUUCACUUUUCUGAUUUUUUAAACCCAUUAUUGUACACAAGGACAAAACUGUCUUUACAGAGCCCCUAACACCUCUGUUAUGUCUCCAUCCAUCUAAAAUAGCAUACGGGUCAACGAAA